UCACAAUAUAUAUUUACCGUAUAAAAGGAGAUCAAACUGUAUAAUGUUUUUUAUAUUUACCGUAUAAAAAAAAAAAAACUGAAGAGACUAAAUGUCUAAUGUUUAUAAUCAGAGGAGUCAAAAAUAUAAUUUAGUCAUUUUGCAGUCCUUGUAAAUAAAAUAAAUUAUAGAACUAAAAACCAAUUUAGAAAAAAAUAUUGCAACUUGGCAUCUAUAAAAUACAAACGAAGUCAUAGAGAUUUCAUUAGUAAACGAUUUUGCAACCACAUCAAAGGAAAACGGUGACAAUCUUGUAGUUGUUGUGAUAAAAAUGAAAGUUAUUGUUUAAUGUAACUCAAUUGAUAGAAAUAUUAUAUUAUAUUAUAAUGGUUGAGAUCUUAACUCCGAUUUUUGCAUUUUAGAGCUAAAACUUUAGCAACUACAUCACUUGGCUUAAAGAAAAUUACUCCCUCCCUAAUUAUAAGAUCAUUUUGCUAAAAUCACGGGAAUUAAGAAAGUGGAUAUUUGUAUUAAAGUUGUUUGUAAUCACUAUUGUUUUUACAAUUUUAUCCUUAAGAGAGAGAGUUAGUUUAUGUUUUCCAUAUGCUACUUAUUGCUGAUUGAAGAAAAAGAUGUAUAAUAAAUAGGGGCAUGUAUGUAAAGAAAUAAUUAAUGUAGUUGGAAAUAACAAAGGGGUCUUAUAAAAAGGGACAAAAAAAAUCUCAAAAGGGUCUUAUAAUUAGGGACGGAGGGAGUAAAUGACUAAAUAGACAAUUAUCCUUCGAAAUUGUAAGUUUCAUCAAUUAUCCCCCUGAAAUUGCACAACGUUAAUCAAUUUACACCUUCCGUCAAAUUUUUCUAUUAGUCAACAUGACGUUUUCCAAAUACCUCCCCUGAAGUUUUGCACUUAUGUGCAAAAUGCCCCCGAACUUGAAAAUUUAUAUAUUUUUUUCUUAUCCUUGACUCAAAAGAUAUUAAAGACAAACAACAUAAGAUAUGGAAAUCUAAACUCAAUAAUAUUUUGUUUGUGAAUAUAAUGAGCACAUGACAAUCAACAUAAGCGUAUCCUAUGGAGCCUAACACUAUUUGUCAAUAUUGAUGUGUUUGGCACCAUGUUGGGAGUCAUAAGCUAGAAUUCCAAAAAGAAUUUCAAUUCAACAUUGUUUUGAUAGAAAAAGAAGCAGUUUAAAAUACUCAUUAAGUAGGAUUGCAUACAUGGAUACAAAACGGGAUUAGCCAGCUAUAUUUCUGUGGGGAUUAGCCAGCUCCAUUAAUUGUUUCUCUUUAAUAUCUUUUGAGUCAGGUAUAAGAAAAAAUAUAUAUAAAUUUUCAAGUUCAAGGGGUAUUUUGCACAUUAGUGCAAAACUUCAGGGGAAGGUAUUUGCAAACGUCAUGUUGACUAAAAGAAUUUGACGAAGGGGGUAAAUUGAUUAACGUUGUAUAAUUUCAGGAGGAUGAUUAAAGUUUUGUUAAUUUCAGAAGGAUAAUUGAGGGGAAUGUAUUUGCAAAGUCAUGUUGACUAGAAUAAUUUGACGGAGGGGGUAAAUUGAUCAACGUUGUAUAAUUUCAGGAGGAUAAUUAAAGUUUUGUUAAUUUCAGAAGGAUAAUUGACGAAACUUAUAAUUUUAAGAAUAAUUGUCUAUUUACUCAAAAUUAGAUGAUCACUUAAAAAAUCAGUCCAUAUAUACAGUCCAUAUAUACAUUGUGAAUGUCUCACAGAUCAUGACUAAUAUAAAAUGUUAUCGGUUGCUUGAUUGAUACUGCUAAAUAUUUUGUUUGAAUAUUUUUAUUGUUUUUUACUUUAAUAAAAUCAUAAUUUGGUUUGUCCAUAAAUUCUAACUCAAUUGGUAAAAUAUCGAAAUUUUUAUAUUAGACGUUAGGGCUGAUAUUUGAACCCCAACAUCUUUAUUUGUGUGUGAGAGUUUAAACUGACUUGUCAUUUCAUCUUUCGGCAAAAUAAAUAAUAAAUCAUCAUCAGAAAUUUGGUAUUUGGAUUUGUAAAGGUGUCGCAACUGAAUUCCUAAUACUUCCGGUUAGAAAACUUACCCCUUUCUUUUGAAAGGAAAAAACUUAAUUCCCAACCCAUCAGAAUUACAAAUUAGUUUUAAAAAUUUACAUCACAAUUGUUGAAGGCAUCUUGAGGAGAACUUUGUUGCUAAUUAACCUUUGAAAUUAUACACCAAGGAUAACAAGUUCGUAACAAAAAAAAAGACAAAUGAAAUCGAUAAUUUAAGUUAGGGAAGUGCAAGCUUCUUGAUUUUGCACCUCUCUUCCCCAUUAAGCCAAUCCCUACCUGGGUAGUUUCUUCUAACUUAGCUUGACAAAUCC
rnacentral:lncRNA from 1 species